rnacentral:rRNA from 1 species
CGGAGGGUGCAAGCGUUAUCCGGAUUUAUUGGGUUUAAAGGGUCCGCAGGCGGACCUGUAAGUCAGGGGUGAAAGCCGGCAGCUUAACUGUCGAACUGCCUUUGAAACUGCAGGUCUUGAGUGAAAUUGAAGUAGCUGGAAUGAGUAGCGUAGCGGUGAAAUGCUUAGAUAUUACUCAGAACACCAAUAGCGAAGGCAGGUUACUAAAUUUCAACUGACGCUGAGGGACGAAAGCGUGGGGAGCGAACAGGAUU